UAGAAAUGAAAGAGCCUUUGUGAAAGACUAUGGAGUGUGCUAUUGGCACAUACAUGAGGAUAAAAUUAUUGCAUAUUACAUAAAUAUAUCCAUGGUGUCAUUGGCUUUAAGCCCAAGAAGCUUAAAUCUAUACCAUCUGGAUGAGGAGCGCAAAUGUGCAGUGGCUGCAAUAGGAACAAACUACAGAAUUGGCCUCUUGGUUCUGAGGAUAUAAGUAAAGAAGCCAAGAAUCAGUAAAGUAAGGAAAGAAAAAAAUGUCCCAACAAACAAAUGAUGGCACAGAAAAAAAUUGCCGUUUUGUGCUAAAUAUUGCUAAGAUUUUACACACAAUGGAAAAAUAAUCUUUGUCUUUGUUUUUCUAAAGAGG
rnacentral:lncRNA from 1 species